rnacentral:rRNA from 1 species
GUCUGUGGCCAUGCCACGCUGAACAAGCCCUGUGUCUGAUCUUGUGAAGCUAAGCAGGGUCGGGCCUGGUUAUUAUUUGGAUGGGAGACCACCUAGGAAGACCAGGUGCUGCAGGCA